rnacentral:sRNA from 1 species
UGACUAGGUAAACGACUCGUCCACAGUGA